AGUGAACGCUGGCGGUAGGCCUAACACAUGCAAGUCGAACGGCAGCACAGGAGAGCUUGCUCUCUGGGUGGCGAGUCGCGGACGGGUGAGGAAUACAUCGGAAUCUACCUUUUCGUGGGGGAUAACGUAGGGAAACUUACGCUAAUACCGCAUACGACCUACGGGUGAAAGUGGGGGACCGCAAGGCCUCACGCGAUUAGAUGAGCCGAUGUCCGAUUAGCUAGUUGGCGGGGUAAUGGCCCACCAAGGCGACGAUCGGUAGCUGGUCUGAGAGGAUGAUCAGGCACACUGGAACGGAGACACGGUCCAGACUCCGACGGGAGGCAGCAGUGGGGAAUAGUGGACAAUGGGCGCAAGCCUGAUCCAGCCAUACCGCGUGGGUGAAGAAGGCCUUCGGGUUGUAAAGCCCUUUUGUUGGGAAAGAAAUCCUAUCGGUUAAUAACCGGUGGGGAUGACGGUACCCAAAGAAUAAGCACCGGCUAACUUCGUGCCAGCCGCCGCAGUAAAAC
rnacentral:rRNA from 1 species